rnacentral:tRNA from 1 species
GGUUCCAUAGUGUAGCAGUUAGCACGUCUGCUUUACAUGCAGAAGUUCCUAGGUUCAUGCCCCAGUAGAUCCA